AUAAGCGCUGAAAGCAUAUAAGCGCGAAGCAGGCCUCAAGAUUAGGUAUUUGAUCCGCAGUAGAUGACUGCGUUGAUAGGGCUUAGGUGUAAGCGCCGCGAGGCGUUGAGCCGAGAGCUACUAAUAGAUCUAUU
rnacentral:rRNA from 1 species